GUAUAUAUUUUUCAUAGCCAUGACAUUCUAUCAACAUACAUUGGGGGUAAAUGAAGCAACAUAGACCUGGAGGGGUCUACAAAAGGUGCACAGGUGGAGAUAUAAAGAUGACAAGGUGUGCACAUGCUCCCUAGAGAGCCAGCAACAACCCAUCAGGUUUAUUUCAAUAAUGAUCCUUCCGCAGGUUCACCUACGGAAA
rnacentral:misc_RNA from 1 species